rnacentral:rRNA from 1 species
GAGUUUGAUCCUGGCUCAGAACGAACGCUGGCGGCGUGCCUAACACAUGCAAGUCGGACGGGGGUGUACUGAGCAGCUUGCUGCCUGGUGCACUCUAGUGGCGGACGGGUGAGUAACACGUAGGAAACCAACCCUGAAGCGGGGGACAACCCAGGGAAACUUGGGCUAAUACCGCAUAAGGCCACGGGCUGAGAGGCCAGUGGUAAAAGGAGCAAUCCACUUCAGGAUGGGCCUGCGGCCUAUCAGGUAGUUGGCGGGGUAAAUGCCCACCAAGCCAAAGACGGGUAGGGGGCGUGAGAGCGUGACCCCCCACACUGGUACUGAGACACGGACCAGAUACCUGCGGGUAGCAGCAGCAAGGAAUAUUGCCCAAUGGACGCAAGUCUGAGGCAGCAACACCGCGUGGAGGAUGAAGGCCUUCGGGUUGUAAACUCCUUUUCUGGGGGAAUAGAAAGGAAGGUACCCCAGGAAUAAU